ACUACGGGUGGCAGCAGUGGGGAAUAUUGCACAAUGGGGGAAACCCUGAUGCAGCGACGCCGCGUGAGUGAAGAAGUACUUCGUUACGUAAAGCUCUAUCAGCAGGGAAGAAACACUGACCUUACGGUCAGCAGACGGUACCUGAGUAAGAAGCCCCGGCUAACUACGUGCCAGCAGCCGCGGUAAUACGUAGGGGGCAAGCGUUAUCCGGUUUUACUGGGUGUAAAGGGUGCGUAGACGGUGCGCCAAGUCUGGAGUGAAAUGGCCAUGCUUAACUGCGGGACUGCUUUGGAAACUGGCGAACUAGAGGGCGGGAGGGGUAAGCGGAAUUCCUGGUGUAGCGGGGAAAUGCGUAGAUAUUAGGAGGAACACCGGAGGCGAAGGCGGCUUACUGGACCGAAACUGACGUUGAGGCUCGAAAGCGUGGGGAGCAAACAGGAUUAGAUACCCCGGUAGUC
rnacentral:rRNA from 1 species